rnacentral:rRNA from 1 species
AUUGAACGCUGGCGGCAGGCCUAACACAUGCCAGUCGAGCGGAUGAAGGGAGCUUGCUCCUGGAUUCAGCGGCGGACGGGUGAGUAAUGCCUAGGAAUCUGCCUGGUAGUGGGGUAUAACGUCCGGAAACGGGCGCUAAUACCGCAUACGUCCUGAGGGAGAAAGUGGGGGAUCUUCGGACCUCACGCUAUCAGAUGAGCCUAGGUCGGAUUAGCUAGUUGGUGGGGUAAAGGCCUACCAAGGCGACGAUCCGUAACUGGUCUGAGAGGAUGAUCAGUCACACUGGAACUGAGACACGGUCCAGACUCCUACGGGAGGCAGCAGUGGGGAAUAUUGGACAAUGGGCGAAAGCCUGAUCCAGCCAUGCCGCGUGUGUGAAGAAGGUCUUCGGAUUGUAAAGCACUUUAAGUUGGGAGGAAGGGCAGUAAGUUAAUACCUUGCUGUUUUGACGUUACCAACAGAAUAAGCACCGGCUAACUUCGUG